rnacentral:tRNA from 1 species
GGGGGCGUGGUGCAGCUGGUUAGCACGCAGGCCUGUCAAGCCUGAGGUCGCGGGUUCAAAUCCCGUCGCUCCCGCCA